rnacentral:rRNA from 1 species
AUUGAACGCUGGCGGCGUGCUUAACACAUGCAAGUCGAACGAGAACGCACCUUCGGGUGUUAUUAAAGUGGCGAACGGGUGAGUAUAAGUUGGGUAAUCUGCCCUAGACAUCGGGAUAGCCCAUGGAAACGUGGAUUAAUACCGGAUACUCCGUUUAUGUCGCAUGGCAUUUUCGGGAAAAGUCCGCUGGUCUAGGAUGAACCCAAUCCCUAUUAGGUUGUUGGUGAGGUAACGGCUCACCAAGCCCACGAUGGGUAGCCGAGCUGAGAGGCUGAUCGGCCACACUGGUACUGAGACACGGACCAGACUCCUACGGGAGGCAGCAGUGAGGAAUUUUGCGCAAUGGGCGAAAGCCUGACGCAGCAACGCCGCGUGCGGGAUGAAGGUCUUCGGAUUGUAAACCGCUUUCAGUUGUGAUGAAAAUGACAGUAGCAACAGAAGAAGCCCCGGCUAAAUACGUGCCAGCAGCCGCAGUAA